UACGAAGGGGGCUAGCGUUGUUCGGAAUUACUGGGCGUAAAGCGCACGUAGGCGGAUCGAUCAGUCAGGGGUGAAAUCCCAGGGCUCAACCCUGGAACUGCCUUUGAUACUGUCGAUCAGGAGUAUGGAAGAGGUGAGUGGAAUUCCGAGUGUAGAGGUGAAAUUCGUAGAUAUUCGGAGGAACACCAGUGGCGAAGGCGGCUCACUGGUCCAUUACUGACGCUGAGGUGCGAAAGCGUGGGGAGCAAACAGG
rnacentral:rRNA from 1 species